AAAAAGCACCAUUCGAGCGUGAGCAUUACCUGUGUCAUCUAACUGGCACUUGUGCUGGUGGCACGUGAAAACAACAUUCGAGCGAGGUCAUUGCCAGUGCCACUGGACUGGCUCCUGUGCAGGUGGCAC